rfam:Globodera pallida, Lindley, WGS project CBXT01000000 data, contig: pathogens_Gpal_scaffold_74_contig_31
CAAACGGCCCUCUUUAGGGCCACAAUUGACAAAUGGACGAGAAAG